GUUGGGUUGGUUUUGUUUGUGUGGGCGGGUUGGGUAACGAAAGGUGAAGCAGGUUUACAAAUGUAAUCAAUAAUGUUACUUAUUUAUUAAAACUAUUUAAGAGGUGUUCAAGGGCAAGUGGAAAAUAAGGACUCUAAGACGUAUUUACUAGUUCGAAUUAUGGACUCACCUGUGACAGCAACAACUCGAACUCUUCCUACUCCUCCGCAGCCAAACACGAUCCACAUGCCACACACAGCACUCUUUGGCUCUCACUGAAGAGCGCCAUCUGAUUGUUUCGUUGAGUUGCGCUAACGGCAAAAGAGGCGCUGGCUGCCUUCUCUUCUCGGGGUCAGGAAACGUCACCCAAGGACAUCGCAACCGGCUCACGACCGGAGUGUUCGUGCAGAUGACUUUGUGGUGCUCGAAGGGGCAGUUCCAUUUGUCGGCCCAAUAGUCGUUGGGAAACUUUUUUGCAGAAGUUAUUUGCAUACCUAGCGGUGUUGCGCCAAUCGGUUAUCGACUAUCGUCAUCGUCAUAGCAAAUCGCGUGCAUUUGCGGCGAUGGGUGGGUAGUGCGGGUCGCUGACUAGUGCUUACAGUAUUAAAUCAUCUGCAGGAUUCUCUGGUCGUUCAAAAGUCUAGGUGGGCCCAGACGCAUACACUUUCGUCAUAAAGAUAUGGCCUUGGUUGCAGAUAACUAAAUUUAAGCGAUGUCAAUUUUAUUAUUGGAAAACCAAGAUUUUUUUUCUGUUACUUAACUUUUUGCAUAUCUUAAUGCACCGCAUAUUCACCGCAGUUGGGGUCGAUUAAAUACAAAACUUAAGAACUAAAUUCAAGAAAUUUGCAGAAUCAUGUCCCAAAAAUUUAUCAAUUUUAUUUGAAAUUCAGAUAUAUUAAAAGCAUGAUGUUCUUAAGAGUAGAAGAUAAUAUGUUAAAAAAAAAACUAAGGAGCUAUAAGAUAUAGUUACCCUUUCCGGAAAUCUGGGUCGGAAACGUCUCCUUCACUGCGAUGCAAACUUCUGACUGAGGUAUAAAAAUGGGACAAAUCGAAGGGCUAUUCCAAUAGCUCCCAUAGGAACAAUGAUAUCGAUUAAGAUCUUAUUUUUUAUACACAUAAAAGUAAUAAAUUAUGAAAAAUGAUAAAAUGUAUCUUAAAUAACUGAUGAUCUUCGCGUUUGUAAUUUUUCCAAAAAGUUAAAGUUGUUUAGCAGAUGUUCUCCAUUAUUUUUGACAGUUCGCUCAUCUUUGCUUUAUUAAUUUUUUCUAAUAAUCACACAUCUGCAAAUUUUUUUUUUUUAUUUUAUAACAUUUAACACCUUAAAAGUAAGACAAACACAAUGGAACACAAACCAAUUUCUGGAUUUUCAUGGAACACAACUUUACUUGAACUUAGCAUGAAAUAGACUUUCACAAAUUCACAAAAAAGGGUUAUUCGAUAAAAUUAGUUUUACGAAAAAUUGUUAACAGGGAAGUUAAUUAUUAUUAUCUCGAUUUAAGGUAAAUAUCUAAAUUUCCAAAUUCAUUUUAAAUAAUUAAAUUCGGAGCACUCUAGCUAACAUUUGAUCUCUUUAAAGGGCGUUUGUAAAAACAGAAUAAACUUUUUGUGCAUAGCUGCGUUGCGAAAAUGAACACGUGUUCAUGCUUGCAAUGCUUUUUUUUUAGAAAGUACCGUUAGAUUCCCAGGGAAAUACGAUAUACCAUUGAGAAGGUUAGACUUUUAGAGACACGUUGUUUACUUUUCGCUUAAAUCCUUCGACGGAUACAAUGUGCAGUGUUCGCAAAGAAUUAAACACAUUUUUUUAAUUUAUCGGAUUAAAGACUAUAUAAAAAAUUUUUUUUAACGUUGUUUUGGUGCCCAUUUGGGAAAAGCCGUUAUUUUUUUCGACUCGGUGCAUUUUGCCCCUUUUUCAGCCCUUGCUCUCUUGCAAUAUUACCCCAUUUUGCCAUGGGUGCAUUUGUUUUGGUUAGCAAGUUAUCGUAAUUAUUAACUAACAAGAUCGCCCACAACUUCGUUUGUAGAAAUCAAGAUUAAACCUUGAACAUUACCUUGUAUUGUCUGUAUCUAUUCGACUUUGUUUCUUUAAAUGCCUUUAUUAUUUUUAUGUUUAAUAAAUGUAUUUAAAUAAAGGCACGCAUUACCAGUGUUAAUACCAGUGUUGUAAAAUGAUUGAAAACAAAUACAUAUAAGUUGCAUAAAAAUGCAUAGAUACCUAAAACGAAUUUACAUGUGUUUGUCUGCUUGCGUCACUAAUGUAUAUACAUACA